ACGCCGCUCGCUGAGUGCGCUGAGUCCAAGCAAGACCCACACCCCUUCGUCCAAGAACCAAUGCUCAAGACACCGCUCGCUGAGUCCGCUCAGUCCAAGCAGGACCCACACCCCUUCGUCCAAGGGCCAACGCUCAAGACGCCGCUCGCCGACUCCAAGCACCUCACAGGCUUCUGGCUCUGGGUCAAGAAGACAUGCUCAUGCCAAUGAAGAAGUCCAGUCCAACAUAAACCUACAAACCAUUUUGAGCAACCAAGACGAGAUCCUGCGGCUGCUGAGAGGAAACUGAUCAAAGCCCUCAGUGCCAUUGGUGGAGCCAACUUUGUGGAUGGGGUGAGGGCGAUUGUCAAGAACAUUGGACAGAACAAGCUCUGGGAAAACUACAGCCUAAAAGGGAUGAAGGGCAAACUGCUAUUGAAAGACCUCUCCAUAUGCAGGGUCAUAGUCAAAGCAUGCCAGAUGACAUUCAAGUCUGUCAAAACCCAAGAGGUCCAUGACGAGCUAACGGAGGUGCUGAAGUAUGCCCCCCACAGGUGCGGAGGAUCCAAGCACAAG